UUAGUGGCAGACGGGUGAGUAAUGCAUAGGAAUCUACCUAGUAGUAUAGGAUAGCCACUAGAAAUGGUGGGUAAUACUGUAUAAUCCCUGCGGGGGAAAGAUUUAUCGCUACAUGAUGAGCCUAUGUUAGAUUAGCUAGUUGGUGGGGUAAUGGCCUACCAAGGCAGUGAUCUGUAGCUGGUCUGAGAGGAUGAUCAGCCACACUGGAACUGAGACACGGUCCAGACUCCUACGGGAGGCAGCAGUGGGGAAUAUUGGACAAUGGGCGCAAGCCUGAUCCAGCUAUGCCGCGUGAGUGAGGAAGGCCUUAGGGUUGUAAAACUCUUUCAGUAGGGAAGAUAAUGACGGUACC
rnacentral:rRNA from 1 species